ensembl:lncRNA
GUGAAAUCUCCAGGUGAGCCUGAUUAGAACCAUUAUGAGCAAUUAAUGCAAUCAGAGCUCUGAUGCUGGGAUCUCAUUUUGCCUGUUUGCGUUGUGGAGUCAUAAGCUCUCUUUAGUUUCAGGAUGUUGCAUGCUAAUCCUGUUACCUUUGGGUGUAGGGAGGAAUUUGGUAGAAUGUAGCAUAGGUGCCCCCAAAGGGCACCUAGCUGAUCAGCAAGCUGCUAGGGAAUGUUCUUCCCAGAGGUUGACAUCAAAGUUCCUGCCUUUGUUCUUGUUGAAAGCUUCCGCUUGUCUCAGUGAUAAUUUCAAGGAACUACUAUGAAUGUGCCAGCAAUUACCAGAUAUGCCUGGAUUUGACUGGGGAGCAUCAAUUACUCACAACUUGGUCACACUCAGGAAAAGAGGAAGAGAAGUGGACUCAAUUUAUGGGAAGUUUCUAUGUGCAACUACCAUGAACAGGAAAUGAAUGGAAGAAUAGAAUCUCUAUCUGCAAAAAUGUAUCUUGGUUUACCUUCUAGAUCACAGUGACUGUAGCUCCAUAUAGAAAUGAUUUCCCCAAUACAUCUGAAAAGGAAACUUGAGAAGGAAAAGGAGUAGGUACAUGAUUUUUGGGCCAAAUGUCACAGAAUACUGUUGAUAAGAGACUUGGGAAAAAUUUUAGACAUCCUGUUGUCCUGAAGGUAAUGAAGUAUCAACGAGGAUCGACCGGUCGAAACUUUGGCUAGAGAGGAAAAAGAAUCUUUCAUUCAAAGCCCUAAGAUAUCUUUGCCAUUAAAAUUCAGCAUGCUUUCAGAAAACAGAUUGAAGAAGGAAUCAAG